GUAAGUUGAGAGAUGGAGGGGAGGGGAAGGAUUUCAGCAUCAUGACGUAGUAUAGGAGGAAGCUUUGUUCCUGGAGGAUUGAUUUUGUGAGGGAGGGCAGAACCAGACAACAAGGAACAUUUAGAUAAUACGUCUGUACUCCGUAAAGCAUGGACACAGAAGGAUUCUGAAAUGAUUUUAGAUAUUUCGUGGUAUUGAGCAAAUCAGUAAACACAUUGUUGUUGAGAUCCAGAGUUCUCACUGUGGAGAAGAAAGUUACAAAUACAGAAAGAGAGAAGACAUGGAUGUAAGAAGAAUGGACUGCAAUUGGAGAUUGCCUUUUGGUUGCAAGGGGAACAAUAAUAAUUACACAGUGCAGAAAUCAGAUACCCCUUUGACUAGUGACUGAAAUGAACAUCACCAAUAAAGGACAGACAGACAUCAUGUGCCUCUGGAUACGAUGCCCCAAAGAGGAGGUAAUACUACUCUUGUACUAUUUGACUGGAAAUGCAUAGCCUGAGUUUAAUGAUGAGGAAGCGUUAUAGAAGCCCCAAACAAGGAACAUUCCAUCUUACAAACAGGAACUGUUUUUAACAUGUCAGUGUCAUAAAGAAGAAAAAAAUCUAAAGAGAUAUGUCAACUCACUACGAUAUAUGAUUUUAGACUGAAUCCUGUACUGAAAAAACAUUACUGUGUCUGAUAGGCAGCCACUAAAAUGGUCCCACUUCCAGAUAUUUGCCCCUCUGUAUAAUCAUUUCCCUUGAAUGUAGGCUGAACUAACGACUUACUGACUUGCUUUUAAUGAAUAGAAGAUGGUAGAAGUAAUAGAAUGUCAC
rnacentral:lncRNA from 1 species